rnacentral:pre_miRNA from 1 species
CCUCCGCAGGCUGGCCGCCCCCCAGGCUGGGCUGGGCGAGUAUCUCUUCCAAAGGCUCACAGGCAAGCACGACUAGGAGC